rnacentral:rRNA from 1 species
CCUACGGGACGCAGCAGUGGGGGAUAUUGGACAAUGGGGGAAACCCUGAUCCAGCGACGCCGCGUGAGUGAAGAAGUAUUUCGGUAUGUAAAGCUCUAUCAGCAGGGAAGAAAUAAAGUCCUUUGGACUUUGGACGGUACCUGACUAAGAAGCCCCGGCUAACUACGUGCCAGCAGCCGCGGUAAUACGUAGGGGGCAAGCGUUAUCCGGAUUUACUGGGUGUAAAGGGAGCGUAGACGGCAGCGCAAGUCUGGAGUGAAAUCCCAUGGCUUAACCAUGGAACUGCUUUGGAAACUGUGCAGCUG